rnacentral:rRNA from 1 species
AAAGAGUUUGAUCAUGGCUCAGAGUGAACGCUGGCGGCGUGCCUAACACAUGCAAGUCGAGCGAAGUGGUAGCUGUAGCAAUACAGUGUACGCUUAGCGGCAGACGGGUGAGUAACACGUAGGGAACCUUCCUCUUAGCGGGGGAUAGCCAGCCGAAAGGUUGGGUAAUACCGCGUACGAUUCUUCGAAGGCAUCUUUGGAGAAUGAAACAUCCGCAAGGAUGACUGAGAGAGGGCCCUGCGGCCUAUCAGCUAGUUGGUGAGGUAACGGCUCACCAAGGCUACGACGGGUAACCGGCCUGAAAGGGCGAUCGGUCACACUGACACUGAGACACGGGUCAGACACCUACGGGUGGCAGCAGUGAGGAAUCUUGGACAAUGGGGGCAACCCUGAUCCAGCGACGCCGCGUGGAGGACGAAGGUCUUCGGAUUGUAAACUCCUUUUGUUCGGGAAUAAAAAAUCUGUGGAAACACGGAAAAUGAAUGUACCGGAUGAAUAAGCCACGGCUAACUUCGUGCUAGCAGCCGCGGUAAUAC